UACGGAGGGGGCUAGCGUUGUUCGAAAUUACUGGGCGUAAAGCGCACGUAGGCGGCUUUGUAAGUUAGAGGUGAAAGCCUGGAGCUCAACUCCAGAAUUGCCUUUAAGACUGCAUCGCUUGAAUCCAGGAGAGGUGAGUGGAAUUCCGAGUGUAGAGGUGAAAUUCGUAGAUAUUCGGAAGAACACCAGUGGCGAAGGCGGCUCACUGGACUGGUAUUGACGCUCAUGCACGAAAGCGUGGGGAGCAAACAGG
rnacentral:rRNA from 1 species